CCGAGAAAAGCUUCUAGUUAGAAUCAGACCACCCGUACCGCAAACCGACACAGGUAGUCGAGGCGAGUAGCCUAAGGUGAGCGAGAGAACUCUCGUUAAGGAACUCGGCAAAAUGACCCCGUAACUUCGGGAGAAGGGGUGCUGCACAAUGUGCAGCCGCAGUGAAUAGGCCCAGGCGACUGUUUAUCAAAAACACAGGUUUCUGCAAAAUCGUAAGAUGAAGUAUAGGGGCUG
rnacentral:rRNA from 1 species